rnacentral:rRNA from 1 species
CUGGCUCAGGAUGAAUGCUGGCGGCAUGCCUAAUACAUGCAAGUCGAGCGGUAACAGGACUAGCUUGCUAGUGCUGACGAGCGGCGGACGGCUGAGUAACGCAUGGGAACGCACCCAAACUGAGGGAUAACUAGUCGAAAGAUUAGCUAAUACCGCAUGUGAUCUUCGGAUUAAAGCCUUCGGGCGGUUUGGGAGCGGCCUGUGUACGAUUAGAUAGUUGGUGAGGUAAUGGCUCACCAAGUCGACGAUCGUUAGAUGGUUUGAGAGGAUGAUCAUCCAGACUGGAACUGAGACACGGUCCAGACUCCUACGGGAGGCAGCAGUAGGGAAUCUUUCACAAUGGGCGAAAGCCUGAUGGAGCAAUGCCGCGUGCAGGACGAAGGCCUUCGGGUUGUAAACUGCUUUUAUAAGCGAGGAAUAUGACGGUAACUUAUGAAUAAGGAUCGGCUAACUACGUGCCAGCCGCGGC